UUUCAAGCCUGGUUUUUAAUCACUUUCUGUUCCCGGAAGACAGUCUGGAAAGAGAAGACUCUGGAAUCCCCUCCCUCAGCAAGGAAGUGGGUGCUCUUUCCCGGGAGUCCAGCAAAGGCUUCUUCUCUUUCACACUCUGAGAUUCCAAGGGUAGCAGCCCUCUUUGAGGUGCCUACAGCCUGCCUGUGCACGGAGGAACUGGCAGACAAGAGGCCAACACCCAUAAACUACCAAUGAUUCCAAGGGUCUGAUGCAAGACCUCAGCCACCCUGGAGAUGACUCAGUGGUCAAGGUGAGCUGAAGGGUGGCCUCUCCUCCAAAGGUUUCUCCAGAAACUUGCAGAAGCUUCUUUUCGUCCCUAGGCUUUUGAAGUUCGGCAGCAAUGUAAUUUCGUGUGGGUGUUUUCAACCACCGUGGUGUUCCUGCAGCUGCAAGUUCCUGAGGCUUUGAGGGCUCAGAGGUGUGAAUAGACUUGGAUCUCUUCUAGAGAAUCAAAUAGCCUAAGGUCCUGUCUAACUGAGCCCUCUCUGUCAGGUGUCACUCAUCCCUCUGUUCCCAGCUUCCAGUAUUGUGUUGCUGUCAUCUUCUCCUGAUAUCUUUCUUAUCCAGUUGAUGUCUUUUAAAAAAUGAUGUGCUGUCCAGAUGCAGUGGU